UCGCUACUACCGAUUGAAUGGCUUAGUGAGCUUUGAGGAUUAGGUUUCAUAGUUGGGUUUCCUUCUGUGAUACUUGAGAAUCAAAUCAAACUUGAUCAUUUAGAGGAAGUAA
rnacentral:rRNA from 1 species